GUGAGGGAUAUUGCACAAUGGGGGAAACCCUGAUGCAGCGACGCCGCGUGGGUGAAGAAGGGCUUCGGCUCGUAAAACCCUUUUCUGCGUGACGAGACAAGGACGGUAGCGCAGGAAUAAGUCUCGGCUAACUACGUGCCAGCAGCCGCGGUAAAACGUAGGAGACGAACGUUAUCCGGAGUUACUGGGCGUAAAGGGCGUGCAGGCGGCAGCCUAAGUCUGGCGUGAAAUAUCCCGGCUCAACCGGGAUAGGUCGUCGGAGACUGGGUCGCUAGAGGGCGGUAGAGGCGUGUGGAAUUCCGGGUGUAGUGGUGAAAUGCGUAGAGAUCCGGAGGAACACCAGUGGCGAAGGCGACACGCUAGGCCGCACCUGACGCUGAGACGCGACAGCAUGGGGAGCGAACGGGAUUAGAAACCCCAGUAGUCC
rnacentral:rRNA from 1 species